rnacentral:lncRNA from 1 species
AAAAGCACCCUGAGAGAGAGAGAGAGAAUUCUCAGUGCUUCACACAGUGUGAAUCCUGAGAUUUUAUAGGACGGAGCCAUGGCACUUAAAACUGCUGUUAACUGUAUAGCGUAGAGACAAACUCUCACAGUAGUCCAGCCCCUAUAGACAAUGACAGUGACUCAGACACAGGGGCUGGUGCUGUGCCUGAAUUGCUAUUAGUCAAAGCUACCACCUGUUUGCUUGUCCUCAGUGAACCCAGAAGCCGGUAGAUGCAGAUGAAGAAACAGAGCGUUUCAGUUCCUAACAUCCCUCAGCCAGGAAGCGUCUUGAAAUACAUCAAGCCCAGUGCAGUCCCAUACCCUAGAACAGGAAGAGGUACAGCCCAGAACUAAGAAAAAUGUUGCCUCCGUGGGAAUGCCUGUGCAGGUCAGUAAGAUUUUGCUUGAAGGUCAAGGUGAAGCAGCUGAAACCCCCAGCUGAACUGUAUCAGAAAUCUCCCUGAUGGAGCGGGAUUCUGAUACGUGCAGCCAGGAAAG